ACGACAUGAUGAGGACAUUUUCUGAUGAGAUCCUUUAAUCAUUCCCAUGACUCAUGGAACUACUCACUAACGUGCUAUGAGAAUCUAGUGAGAGCUCGCCUUAUUUG
rnacentral:snoRNA from 1 species